CGCACAUGCUGUCCCUCAGCCCUGCAAGAACCAUCUGCUGGAGCUGAGUGGAGGCUGCCUCCUUCGGAUGGGACCUGUACCCUUUACUCCUCUAUCGCUGUGCCACACCAAUCCAUCAUCACACUUACAAUGUCAUCUUCUCAGAGACAACCCGUAAACCCCUCGGGGCCCAAAGGCCACGCCUCACUCGACAGCUCGGGAAAGCCAGGCACAGGGGGAGAAGCAACCUGCCGAGGUCAUGCAGUGACAUGGAGCCACAGCCUGGCUUCCUGACACCCCUUCUGCCCUAUCAGGCUGAUGCCCAGACUUGUUCUUGGAGCCCUUACCUGCAACUUAAGAUGUCUAACUCCUGAAGCUGCCAUGCUGGAAGGAAGCCCAAGACACUUGAAGAGGCCACAUG